rnacentral:snoRNA from 1 species
GUGCAAAUUUGAUCACUAGCUCUACCUGAUGUGACAGAAGUUAAGAGAACCAGGUUUGUUAAAGUAACUCUGGUGAUAGGAAUGUAUUAGCCUCAGAAGCUACUGAGGUGGCCUAUUCUAUCCUAGUACAGUG